UUUUAAAAAUGUUUUCAUAUAUAGGGAGCACCGCAUUAUAAGGCGCGUACAAUAGAAGCUACAAUAGUGGCUGAGGUUGAGUUAUGGAUCCACUAGAUGUUGCUACACUAAAGGAAUACAAUACAAUACAGCUUUACUUAUAUAGCGCUUUCACAACCACUGCAGCUGUAACAAAGCACUUUACACAACAGUUAAAACACUUCGUCCAAGAAAGCAGAAUAUUGGUCCAUAAAUAAGGCCCAUCAGAUUAUAAGGCGCACUGUCGGCUUUUGAGAAAAUUGAAUGUUUUUAGGUGUGCCUUAUAGUGCGGAAAAUACAUAGAAGUA